AGAAAGGAGGAAGUUUGUGUAAAGUCGCCUUGCUGAAUCCACAAAGUCCUUCUUUUCCAUCCUCCCCUCUGAGUCACUGGGGAGUCCUGCCUGUUUUUCACAGUUUCCAGGAGAGCAAGCCUAACAGUCACAGCGCUGAUGAUGGAGUUUCUGGUGGAAAGCGUGUGAACUUCAGCUGCAAACGACCUGAGGUCCAAAGCCUGCUCACAGAAGGAGACUAUGAUAGUCGCAUCUCCCAGUCUUUUGAAGGAAGAAAAUCAAGUCGCCAGAUAAGCCGGUUUCUAUGCUGUAGGCUCCAUUAUAGAACUGCCAAGGUGAUGCAAGUUCUUGGCAGAAUUCAGUGCCUUAGGCCUGCACAAAUGAGAGCCUCACUGCCUUGAUGGCAAUUGGCGUGGACCUUCCUCAGCAACUUGGAGUUUCCUGAACUUCUUCUCAUGUGCUCCCCUUCACCUUCAAGUCAAUUCCACUUAACUAUUCAGAUUCCUUUGAGCUUUUUCUCUAGCUAGAAGAGACAUCUGUUAUACUGUCUCUUGUGAUGAAUUGUGGCCUAAAGGAUGGUCUCUUGUCUUCAGGUUGGCUCUUAAUUAAACAUAAAAGUCACUUUUGUGUUUU